CCUUGAGCAUGUUCCCAGACAUGAAUGCUGUAGCUGAUUCACUCACAGUCCUACAUGGAAAUACUGUGUUCCAUCUGUCUUUUUAUGUUACAGAACUCACCCUCCCAAGGACCUUGUUCUUCAAUGUCUCACCUCUUACACACUUCCAGGUUUGCAACCACCACCCCAAGCUUUAUGAAGAGCAUUUCCUCUUUUUGUGGUAUGAUUAUGGAUUAUUCCUCUAUCCAGGGGAUGCUACAGCUGCCAUUAAGGGGAUGAACAUCCUUACGAAGAUUUUAACACCUUUGGAAACAGCAGAAUCUUACAUUAAAGAUGUGCACAGGAGCUACAGGACAAGAGCACAGUGGGACACAGCAGGGAGUCAACAUCCACAUACACGAAGGGUGAGACGGCUCCAGUUCCCUCGAGGGUAGAACCCCAACAACGUAUCCAGCUACACCAGCAAGAGAGAACAACCUCCUCACUGAGCAGGCUGAAGGUGAAACUCCCCUUCUGUGUCUGACGAGCUGUGUGUGCGCUCGGUGAGAGGCUGCUCACAGACGGCAGCUCUCACACAACGACCCACGCUUCCCAUCAGCGCAUCCCCGUUCCCAAGCUGUCGGACGGCUCCUCUCACUCCAGGCACAUGGCACAGCCCAGGCUGGGCCCGGGGGCUGUUCCCAUCCUGUGGCCGUUCCACACCUGCCCAGCACCGCAGCAAUGAUCGGACCCCUCAAACCCGAGGGCAGCGAGAGCCCCCGUUCCCCUGAGCCUGUUCUCAGUGAACAGGACUGGAGCUGGGGAGAUACCGCUACUGGAGAACUGCGUUUUUGUGCAGGGGAAACGCUGAGGAACAAAACCUGCAGAAACAGGCUCCUGUGGCUCAAGGGCUCCCAUACCACCGCUGACCGUCUGCCGCGGAUGCUGUGCUGGGGUUGUUUCUGUUCUCAAUGGGAAGCGGUGUAGUCACAGCUCCCUGAAGGAGCUGCGUGCCCCAUCACCAACACCAUCCCCAUGCCAGUUUCACCUUCAGGUGCCAGUUUUAGUUUAAAUCUCAGUGCAGAACUGGGAAUUAAUGCAACAGUCCAAAGCUUUUGUCUUUUCUAGAAGUUGCCAUGGUUUUAAACCUACACUCUCCACUUUCUUAAUGUGACAGCAGAACGUGAAUUCAGACUGUCAACAACCUCAACAGUUAAAUAAAACAUUUUUAC
rnacentral:lncRNA from 14 species